rnacentral:rRNA from 1 species
CUACGGGUGGCUCCAGUGGGGAAUAUUGCACAAUGGGGGCAACCCUGAUGCAGCAACGCCGCGUGUACGAUGACACUAUUCUGUAGCGUAAAGUACUGUUAAUCGUGACGAAUGUAGAAGUUAGCAGCUUCUAUUGACGGUAGCGAUAGAGGAAGCUCCGGCUAACUCCGUGCCAGCAGCCGCGGUAAUACGGAGGGAGCGGGCGUUGUCCGGAUUUAUUGGGCGUAAAGGGCAUGUAGGUGGUACAGACAGUCAGUUGUUAAAUAUUACGGCUUAACCGUGCUAUGCAAUUGAUACUUCUGUUCUUGAGUAUGUGAGGGGAUGAUGGAAUGCCUAGUGUAGCGGUGGAAUGCGUAGAUAUUAGGUAGAACACCAGUGGAGAAGUCGAUCAUCUGGCACAUUACUGACACUGAUAUGCGAAAGCGUGGGUAGCAAACAGGAUUAGAUACCCCAGUAGUC